AUGCAAGAUAUGUGCUUUGGAAGCCAAGAAGCUCUGUUCAUGCAGCCAAACUUUUCUUAUGUGGCGCUGUUGAAGGGAUAUAUUGACCUAAAUGCUGGCUCUCAUACAAUCAAUACCCAGGGGCAGGAGUCGUGCUUGUGUGCUGCUGACAUUGGUCAAACAAGUGAUGCGAGUGAACCUCUGCUACAUUUACAACAAAAAAAGGCGGCUCAGGUCUUGGGUGGCAACAACACAUCCAACGGCACACCAAGCCUUCAGGAUUUAGGCAUGAUGGGUGACUUUGUUGACGACCAGGACAAUUCUCCUGUGCAAAUGGAGGAUCUAGAUGCACAAACAACAGAUUUUCAAUUAUUCAAGGGAGGGGAUGAUAUAUCGUUUGAUGACUGUCAAGGAGAUGGAUGCCAACCCUCUUUGAUGAUAUUAGCUUGGAUCAGUACAACACCUGCAGGUUGA
rnacentral:rRNA from 1 species